AUUGAACGCUGGCGGCAGGCUUAACACAUGCAAGUCGAGCGAGCGGCGGACGGGUGAGUAAUGUCUGGGACACUGCUUGAUGGCGGGGGAUAACUACGGGAACCGGUAGCUAAUACCGCAUACCAUCAGAUGUGCCCAGAUGGGGUUAGCUAGUAGGUGGGGUAAUGGCUCACCUAGGCGACGAUCCCUAGCUGGUCUGAGAGGAUGACCAGCCACACUGGAACUGAGACACGGUCCAGACUCCUAUGGGAGGCAGCAGUGGGGAAUAUUGCACAAUGGGCGCAAGCCUGAUGCAGCAAUGCCGCGUGUGUGAAGAAGGCCUUCGGGUUGUAAAGCACUGUCAGCGAGGAGGCGUUACCCGCAGAGGAAGCACCGGCUAACUCCGUGCCAGCAGCCGCGGUAAUUC
rnacentral:rRNA from 1 species